rnacentral:rRNA from 1 species
GACAGAGGAGCCAAGCGUUGUCCGGAUUGACUGGGCGUAAAGCGCACGCAGGCGGUCGCGCGCGUGGGGUGUGAAAACUGGCGGCUUAACUGCCAGAGGCCAUCCCAUACGGCGUGACUCGAGCCAUGCAGAGGUCCACGGAAUUGCCGGUGUAGUGGUGAAAUGCGUAGAGAUCGGGAAGAACACCCGUGGCGAAGGCGGCUCUCUGGGACGGUACUGACGCUGAGACGCGAAAGCGUGGGGAGCGAACAGG